rnacentral:rRNA from 1 species
AUGGCGGAGGGGGAAGAGGAGGCGGCGCGGCCGCGGCCGACGCGCGUCGUGGAGGCUCUCCGCGGCAGGAUCGUCCAGGCGGUGAAGGAGAACCGCGUGACGAUCAUCGUCGGGGGCACCGGAUGCGGAAAGAGCUCCAUGAUUCCCCAAUUCCUCCUAGAGGAAAAUCUGGAGCCCAUUAUGUGCACACUGCCCAGGAGGUUUGCGGUGGUGGCCCUUGCUCAAAUGGUGGCUCAGUCUCGCAAUUGGGAGCUAGGGGAAGAGGUUGGAUAUCAUAUAGGCCACUCGAAUAUGAGCAAUCUCAUCUCGACAAGGUCAAAAAUUGUCUUCAAAACAGCUGGUGUUGUGUUGGAACAAAUGCGUCAUAAGGGCUUUGCUGCAUUGCAAUAUAAGGUUAUCAUUCUUGAUGAAAUUCAUGAAAGGUCUGUGGAAUCUGAUCUUGUCCUUGCUUAUGUCAAGCAGUUUAUGAUGAUGACGAAUGACUCAAGGCUAGUUUUGAUGUCUGCUACCAUUGAUAGCACACAAUAUGUUGAGUACUUUAAAGAUAUUGGAAAGGUUGAACUGAUUACCAUCCCGAGCAGUUCAUGCUCUAACUUCCAGAGAAAAGUCCAAUAUCUUGAGCAGAUUGUUGAUAUUCUGAAGAUGGAUUCUGAAACUGAAUCACCCCGGACGAAGUAUUGCCCUGGACUAGAUUGCAAGGCAGAAGCUUAUCUUAGUCCUGACGUGUAUCAACUUAUCAACAAGUUAUUGUUGCACAUACAUGAAAGUGAACGAGACACUGAAAAGGGUAUUUUGGUUUUUCUUCCAACAUACUAUGCAUUGGAGCAGCAAUGGGAUGUGUUGUCUGGUUGUUCAAUUUUCAAGAUACAUAUUCUUCAUCGCAGCAUUGACACUGAUGAAGCUCUUGAAACUAUGAAGGCCUCAAAGUCUUGCCGAAAGGUUAUACUGGCGACAAACAUGGCUGAAUCGUCUGUCACUAUUCCAGGAGUUGCUUAUGUUAUUGAUUCCUGUAGAUCAUUGCAAGUCUACUGGAAUCCAGUCAGGAGAAUUAACUCAGUUAAGCUUGUAUGGAUUUCCAAGUCCCAGGCUGAGCAGCGGAAAGGCAGGACAGGCCGGACCUGUGAUGGUCAAAUUUUUCGCUUGGUAACAGAGCCAUUUUACAACACCUUUCCUGAUCAUGAAAGCCCUGCCAUUUUAAUUUUAUCCAUAAGAGAGCAAGCACUCAUGAUAUGUUGUGCAGAGUCCAGAGCUAUGAAUGACCCCACCGUCCUGCUGCAAAAAAUUCUCAAUCCACCAGAGUCUGCUGUUAUUAAAGAUGCACUAGAGACUCUUGUUCAAAUUGAUGCGGUUCAGCCAGCUUUGAGUGGAGGGUAUCAGCCCAGUUUUUAUGGCUAUUUGCUCAAUAGUUUGCCGUUAUCGUUCCAUGCUUCUGUUCUUACCCUGAAAUUUGGUGAGAUGGGGUAUCUCCAUGAAGGAAUCCUGAUAGGCAUUAUGUUGGACAUCCAACCACUUCCUAUACUGCAACCUUUUGGUGAUCAAGCAUUGCGCAAGAAGAUUAGAGACAAUUACUUUGAUGAGGGUAGUUCUCAACAAAUUGGCAAGAAGGAAGCUACACUCAUCGGAAAUCUUCGGGCAUUUCAAUUUUGGCAGUACAUGUUUAAGCACACUGCACCGCUUAGGCCUCCUUUUCUUCAGAAAAUCAUUCCUCCAAAGUACCUUCAGACCUUUGAUUUCCACCAUGCAUGUCGUGACCCUGAAUUGCCGGAGCCAGAGCAUAUGCCUUCAUUCUCGUUGGAAGCUGAUAAUUCUCAUUUAGAUUCACAGCGGAGGUGUGCUUCACACCCAUAUAUUUCCGCAACUGAUUUUGGAGCCACUGACAUUGUUAAUGGCCUGAAGAAGGCUAUCAAAGAGAUGAAAAUACAACUUGCAGACGAACAAGUUGUUGGUAAUGCUCAACCAGCCUUUGGAGGUGAGAAGUGGGUGGAGUAUGUUAACAACACUUUUGAGGAAUACAAAGGCCCUUUUAACAAUUCAGCUGAUGACCCCAAACCAGCAUGCAAGUUCUUCCUCACAUUAAAGGGUUGUAUAAAGGGCAGCUCUUGUUCAUUUCCACAUGAUUGUGACUCUUUGAUCUCUUCAUCAGUUGCAUCUAAAAUAAACCCAGAAGAACUACCCUGGCGUGCUGACAUAGGUUGGACACAGUUGCUGACUAGAGGUGAAAAUGGUCACAUUCUUGUCGUGAAUGACAAAAAUCUGAAGUUCUCCCGUGAACUUCGUAAGAUAGUUGCCCGCACACCUUAUCUGCGUUCGGCUGAGCAUAAUGCAGUUGCAAACAACCUCAGCAUAGUCCUGAAUGUCCCUGAUCCUUCUCAUCUAACUAUUGGAGGUGAACAUGAACUACCAGUUCCUUGGACGAAAUUACAGCGGAUUAUUUUGUUAGAUGAUUAUGGUUCUGGUGAAGCAAUCAGCCACCAACUAUUGCAGAAGUUCUUUGAGUAUAUUGCCAUCAAGAUCUUGCCGGAAACAUUAUCUGGUUUGCAGGUCAUCGUGAUCAUGAAUAACACAAAAUUUGUUAAGAUACAGGUGGAAAGAAUGGCAAGAGAGUGUUUCUUCUUUCUGGGUGAAUCAUUCCUAUUAAAUGGAGUGCCCCUUGGAUGGUUUCCGUGCACCCGUCAACAAGAUGGGCGAGUAGCAGGACCAGUUGCUUACGUUUUCAACAUGCAUCCUCCAUCCGCACGGCGAUUUUGCGACACAGGAGAACUGAGUGCCAAGUCCUCUGCAGAGACUAGUUAG